GGGUUAUUUGGGGUCCUUAUGGGGGUCAUUAGUGAUCUCUAUUGAUUUUUGGCUCUCAUAUGCGGGUUAUUUGUUUGGGCCUCUAUGGGGUUAUUUGGGGUCUCUAUGGGGUUUAUUUGGGCCUGUAUGGGGUUAUUUGGGGUCCUUAUGGGGUCAUUUGUGAUCUCUAUGGUGUUAUUUGGGGUCUCUAUGGGGUCAUUUGGGGCCUCUAUGGGGUCAUUUGGGGUCUCUAUGGGGUCAUUUGGGGCCUCUAUGGGGUCAUUUUGAGGUCUCUAUGGGGUCACUUUGCUUUGGAGGUCCAUAUGGGGUCACUAUGGGGUCUGUAUGGAGUUAUUUGGGGUCUCAGUGGGGUCAUUUGGGGUCCUUAUGGGGUCAUUUGGAGUCUCUAUGGGGUCUCUGUGGGGUCAGUUUGGGAUCCCUAUGGGGUCGCUUUGCUUUGGGUUCCCUAUGGGGUCAUUUUGAGGCCUCUAUGAGUUCUCUAUGGGGUCUUUUGGGGUCUCUAUGGGGUCAUUUUGGGGCCUGUAUGGGGUUAUUUGGGGUCCUUAUGGGGUCAUUUUAGUGUCUCUAUGGGGUUGCUUUGCUUUGGGGUCUCUGUGGGGUCAUUUGGGGUCCCUAUGGGGUCCCAUUGGGGUCUAUUGGGAUCCCUUUAGGGUCCCUUUGGGGUCCCAUUGGGGUCUAUUUGGGGACCCAUUAGGGUCUCUUUGAAGUCCCAUUGGGGUCUCUUUGGGAUCCCUUUAGGGUACCAUUGGGAUUGCUUUUCUUUAGGGUCCCAUUGGGAUCCAUUUAGGGUCUCUUUGGGAUCCCAUUGGGGUUGCUUUCCUUUAGGGUCCCUUUAGGGUCUCUUUGGGGUCCCUUUGGUGUCCCAUUGGGGUCUCUUUGGGAUCCCUUUGGGGUCCCAUUGGGGUCUAUUGGGAUCCCUUUAGGGUCCCAUUGGGGUCUAUUGGGAUCCCUUUAGGGUCCCAUUGGGGUCUAUUGGGAUCCCUUUAGGGUCCCAUUGGGGUCCCUUUGGGGUUGCUUUCCUUUAGGGUCCCAUUGGGAUCCCAUUGGGGUCCCUUUAGGGUCCCUUUAGGGUCUAUUCGGGAUCCCUUUAGGGUCUAUUGGGUUCCCUUUAGGGUACCUUUAGGGUCCCAUUGGGGUCCCUUUGUGGCCCCACUAGGGUCCCUUUGGGGUCUCUUUGGGGUCCCAUUUGGGUCUAUUGGGAUCCCUUUAGGGUCCCAUUGGGGUCAAUUUUGGAUCUCUUUAGGGUCUCUUUGGGGUCCCAUUGGGGUCUAUUGGGAUCCCAUUGGGGUCCCAUUGGGGUUGCUCUCCUUUAGGGUCCCAUUGAUGUCCCAUUGGGGUCCCUUUAAGGUCCCAUUGGGAUCCCAUUGGGGUCUAUUGGGAUCCCUUUAGGGUCCCUUUGGGGUCCCAUUGGGGUCUAUUGGGAUCCCUUUAGGGUCCCAUUGGGGUCCCAUUGGGGUUGCUUUCCUCUAGGGU
rnacentral:lncRNA from 1 species